rnacentral:rRNA from 1 species
GUCUACCAUCACACCACCCUGAACAUACCAGAUCUCAUCUGAUCUCAGAAGUAAAUAGUUAGUAUUUUUAAAAAACAAAAUAGCUGGGCGUGGUGGCUC